CAGAGGUCCCAAGCGUUGUUCGGAUUUACUGGGCGUAAAGGGUGCGUAGGCGGUUGUUUAAGUCUGACGUGAAAUCUCCGGGCCUAACCCGGAAACUGCGUUGGAUACUAUUCAACUAGAGGAAUGGAGGGGAGACUGGAAUACUUGGUGUAGCAGUGAAAUGCGUAGAUAUCAAGUGGAACACCAGUGGCGAAGGCGAGUCUCUGGACAUUUCCUGACGCUGAGGCACGAAAGCCAGGGAGCAAACGGGAUUAGAUACCCCGGUAGUCCUGGCCCUAAACGGUGCGCGUUUGCUGUAAGUGGAAUCGACCCCACUUGUGGCGUAGUUAACACGUUAAACGCGCCGCCUGGGAAGUACGGCCGCAAGGUUA
rnacentral:rRNA from 1 species